rnacentral:lncRNA from 1 species
AUGCAAUUGAGGCCCCAACAUCACAUGUGUGGCUGCCCACCCUGCUCAGCCCCAUUAGAGACUUUAGAGCUGAGUUGCUCUGGAAGGGACAAGAAGAACAACGGAAGGGAAAAACACAUCUUACUACCCUCACUCGGCAAGACAUCAGGCAAAUCAUUCCCAGUCACUUGGUGGAGAAGUCAGCAAAAGCUGCCGAAAGCCAGUGCCGAUCCAACUGACCCAUUUUACAGAUGAGCUGAGCCUGAGAGAAUCCUACACGAUGUACCUUAACUUUCAGGGGUUAUUCAACUUACAAAGCACUGUAGUGAGAUUUCUGAAAAGAAAGAAUGUGUCUUGCUUUUAUUUACAGGGGAUCAUGGAGGGGGGACUUAGCAAGAGACCUUGAUCUUGUACUGUCUUGUUAGCUCUUAAUUCUGAAAUAUAUAAUAAACUCAGAACUUUUAGAAUUAGAACUGUAUAAUCAUGGAAAUACACAAGCCUCAUCGGUCUGGUUUGUCUUAUUUAUUUAUUUAUUUAUUUAUUUAUUUAUUUAGAUUUUAAAAAUUUAUUCAUGAAAGACACACAGAGUGAGGCAGAGACAUAGGCAGAGGGGGAGGGAGAGGCAGGCUCCCUGCAGGGAGCCCAAUGUGGGACUCGAUCCCAGGACCCUGGGAUCACAACCUGAGCAGAAGGCAGACGCUCAACCACGGAGCCACCCAGGCAUCCUUAUCUUCCUAUUUAGCGAAUGAGCUAAGGGAACCUGUAGAGAUGUAUUCACGAUUGGUUCAGCUUGGUAUCCGACAUGGAGCUAGACACAGAGGCCCACACCAGAACUCGGAAGCCAUGUGCUGACCAACAGUGCUACAAUGAAUAGUUGUGGGGAAGGGGAGCAUAUCAAAUUGAAACUUUUCUAUGUGAAUGUUUAUUAUAGGAACACAUUAAAUAGGAGACUAAAAUUGGUACAGCAGCACAUUGAUAUUUGUGGAAGAACUCUAAAGUAAAUAUCCCACAAUAUCACCUUCUUUUUUAAAUUUUUUAAAAAAAUAUUUAUUUAUUUGAGAGAGAGGGGGCACAAGCAGGGAGAGUGGCAGAGGGAGAAGAAGACUUCCUUCUGAGCAGGGAGCUCUAUCCGGUGCUUGAUCCCAGGACCCUGAGAUCAUGACCUGAGCUGAAGGCAGACACUUAACUGAUGAGCCACCUGGGCACCUUGACUUGCUAAUGGAGUUGGCUGAGGACUACAGUGAGCAGCAUAAGGGACCCUGGACACUCUCCAGCUCACCUGCUUUGUGUUCCCUGGGGACAGGAUAAGGGCACUGGACAGUAGGGGCAGGCAGGCUGCUCCACCAGGAUGCCAGGCUGGAUCUGUGCCAGCUCAUAGCCAGCCAGACAACACAGUGGGCCUGUUGAGCUUUCACAGGAUCAGAACGCAGAAGGAUCAUUCUAGGUCUCCCUCAUGGACUGGCCAUUGUUACUCACACCACACGCUGCUAAAGGAAGCGUUGUCUCUAAAAUAGGAUUGGUUUAAAAAUAGCAAUCGAACCUCGGGCAUGGAAUGUACUUCUGCUAUACCAGACACCAUCACAUCUGCCUACUUAUUUGAUCCCCACAAUGAUCCAACAAAAUUGACAGGGGUGUCCAGGAGAGAGACUAACUCAUUUCUGGGACAGGUAUCUGGCAGGAGUUCAGCUUGUGCUUGAAGAAAGGAAAAAAGGAUGGCAGGAAGUGAGGGAGGGAGGGAUCAAAGCUGAGGGUUGUGUCUUGAUUUUAUAGAGAAGGAAAGCUCAAGGAGAAAAUGAUCUACCCCAAGUGACAGCACUAAUUGCAGUGGGGAGACUGUGGAGUCCUGGUCUAGUGCUUUUCCUUCCAGUGCCUCUCAGCUCUUUGCUGACAGGUGUACUGGGGGGUGAUCUUUUAAAAGUGAAUUGGCCCACAGGGUUCCAGUCUUCCACUGAUAGCUGUAAAGGGGGUAAAUCUAUCCUUCUGUAAAGUACACGGGAGCCAGCCACUCCCAGGAAAUGUCUGAGAGAGAGCAACAGGGUGGCUGUGCGAUGCCACCAAAGGAAUUCUGGUUAUGUCUACUCUAUAAUACAAGCUCACAAUGUGCCUUGCCAAUCUCUGCCCCUCUCCGGGCCACAGUUUCCUCAGGGAUAUAAAUAGGGUCUUCAUGACCAGCGUAUUAUUUCCUGUCUCCAAUCUCUGCCUUAAAGUCCAUCCUGGGUACCUUCCAGAAGUUUUCCAUCUUGCUGAUGGCUGAGUCUCCCACACUGUGCCCAGGAUCAACCUCAGGAGAACAUUGUGGGGCUGGGGGAGGAGCUUGGGAGAGAAGGCUGCAGGAGUCCUGGGGUGUAUAUUGCCAUCACCCUAAAAGUGUCUUGCUGCCCCCACCUCCCCUGUGGCCUUGUUAGCAUAGAAGAAGAGAUUCUACAGCCAACAAUCAGCAUCAGUGGUCCCUACAAUAAGACUGCUUAGUGUUUUGACUUGUCCUUUUAGGUAGAAAGAUAUGAUUCCUUAUGACCUUAUUCUUUGUUUUUAUUUUAAAACUAUCCUCUCAGAAAUAAUUCCAUAGUACAGAAUUUUUUUCUAGGAUUCAAGAUAUGUGAGGAAAGAGAGGAAGGAGGGGUGAACAGAAGCAGAUGUCUAAAGCAAGAGGAGAAGAUACUUGCUGAUGGUAACUGGGUAAACCCUGAGUGUCUGAUUGAUACAAAUCAAAUGUAUCCAUCCAGCAAACCUCUCCUAGGAAACUCAUUGUUUGCAGGAUUCUGGAUGGACACACAGGAAGUUGACAUGUAUGUGGCAGCCUUCACCCAUAUGGAAUCAGGAAGUCUUUGGGCAAACAAUAACUUGCUUAUGAACAGAGUAGAAUCUAUGAGCCGGCUGAGUAGCUACUAAGGAGCCUGAGCUCCACAAAGAUAAUGGAGGGUGUCUGGUGCCGUCACUGGGCAUCCAGCCUACCAGAUUAGAGAGAUCUCACUGAACAUCCCCAAUUUCAGCUGUCACACAGAAAAGGUCACACUUACGAGCAUGGCUACUCUGGCUGCAGUACAGCCUACUCUAGACUCAUCCUAAUAAAGCCUCAUAAGAAUCAGACUAUAUCUACCAAUAAAUUAACUGCCUGUUGGCACAAAAAUAGAUGGUUGCUAGAUGAAGACAUCAUUAUUUGGAGUCUUAACAAUGCAGCAUUCAUAAUUCCAGCAUAAAGUCAUAAAUUGAUGGACAUGUGAUAAACAGGAAAAUGUGAGCCACAAUCAAGACAAGAAAAGCCAAUAGAAAAUUACCCUGAUAAAAUCCAAGUGUGAUAACUAGAAGGAGACAAGGAAUUUUAAAAAGCCAUUAUAAAUAUAUUAAGGAAUUAAUGGCAAAAAUGCUUAUAAAAAACAGUUAUAAUAUUUCAGGAGAAUAGUGGAAACUGCAAAAAGAGCCAAACUAAAGUGUAAAAUGUCCAAAAUGAAAAUUGAAUAGAUCUAACAGAUGACAUAAAACAUAAAACAAAAUAGUCAGUGAAGUUGCAAAUUGAUUAAUGAAAAUAAUCAAUUCUAAAAAAGAAGAAACAGGUUGAAAAAAAUUGACUUGUGAGAUGAGAUCAAGCAAUCUAAAAGUGUGUAACUAAAGUUCCUGAAGGAGAAAAAUAGG